rnacentral:misc_RNA from 1 species
GGGUAGUUGCAGCUGGUGUAGCUGCGGAGUUGUGUGCAAGAAAAACGAAUAACUAAAGUAUGCAUUUUGAGAAAAGAAUUGCAACAGUGUUACUUUAUUGUAUAUUCUGCUCUCUCAUCAUACAGUGUAUUCAUAGUCUUUUAUGAUUUUCAAUUAUGAUAAUAUCAUAAUUAUCCAUUCUUUUGUGAUAUAUAUUGGCUGUGAUUGUCGCUAUAUAGAACAUACUACCAUUUAUUAACAUUAUUUUUUUGAAAUAAUGAAUAAGUCAAAAUAGUUUAGCUUUAACGUUUAUUUUCCUUAUUGUAUUUAUAUGUAACUAAAGCAGUCAGUGUCUUACGCAGAUCUCAGAGUUUUUGAUAUAGUAUAUCUUUGAAAAAUAAAUUCAUAUUUUUUAUUUAUUUAUUUAUUUAUUUUAAAACUAUAUUGAGUAUAAUCUCUUUUAUGUUUGCAUUUUAAAACAUUUAUGUUUUACUUAACCCCACACGUAAGUUUAAAUAAACUAGGCAUUAAUAACCUGUUUUACGUUGCAAAUUUUUCUUGUCUACUUUUCAUUAAAUGUAUUUUUUCUCUAUUUUUUGCAAUGUAAAAUGCAAAAUUAGGAUAUGAUGGUAUAUACCAUAAGUUAUUUUAGUGUUUGUACCUUAAGGUCCUUUAUAUGUAUUUAAUUUGGACUAAAAACAUUGCGAAUAUUAUUUUUUGUACUGUAUUCAUGAACUUGUUAGUAUCAAUAAAAGACGUUUUU